UUUGAGUGAGUAAUGCCUACUCACAUCCUGUGGAUACAGGAUAUUUGCAACAUUAUAAUUUAGAGCAAUUCCUGAUUAUAUAGGCAGCUGUGACCUAAAGAGACUAAGUAGGUUGCCCAUAUGUCACACAGUGGUAGAACCUGGGACUUCUGAUUGGGUUUAUUGAAGUCACCAUUUUAUUAUGCUAUUUAUAAAAAGUAAUGUGGAUUAUAUAUGAUUUGAACGUUUUUAGUCCUAUAGUCUGAGCCAAACACAUCAACUGGCUUGCCUAUUUAGCAUUUAUUUUAUAAGAAUGGAAUUAAAAUGGAUUUCUUCAUGUUUAGAAUUUGGUCCUGGGAACAGAGGAAGCCCUGAAUUGAUUUAAGCAGGGCCAAAGUUGGAUUUCUCUGGGCUAGAUUUGGACUUACUUGAGCCAAAAUCUAUUGCCACUUAAUAGGCUCUACAAACCAACUGAACAUAACAGUUUCAGGUGUACAAAUAAUGAUUCAGCAGUUCUACACGUUACUCAGUGCUCUUCAUGAUAAUAGAGACAGUGAAUUUGAAUAAAAAGCUGCUCCCUUCUCAAUCUACUUGUAUUAAGAUCUUUUCAAGGUACAAUGGAUUUUCAAGAUUUAGAGCCCAUUUAUCUGCUUGAACAGUUGGAUACAAAUAGUUUUAUUACUGAGUGCUUUAAAAUGGACGUUUCUCUCUGGUACCUCAAAGAAAGACCUUAAGAUUGCCAAACUUUCCUGGCUUCACCCACUAAAAUAGAACAUGUGCUACGGGUAUUAGAACUAUAGCUCUAUGAAUAUAAUACUACAAAAAAGUAAAAUUAAUAAUAACCAAUAAAUAUGUGUUCACUCUACCA
rnacentral:lncRNA from 1 species